rnacentral:lncRNA from 1 species
GGAAGCCAAAGUAUCUGAUGCACUGGAGAAUGAAAACCCGUUCAAAAUCAGUGACCGGAUCUCACUCUGGCACCUAGACUGGAGGGUACUGGCAUGAACUCCUGGGCUCAGAUGUCCUCCCACCUCCACCUUCUGAGUAGCCGGAAUUACAGGAAUGAACCAUCAUGCUCAGAACGUGCAGAUGGGACAGAGAAUCACUGGUGGAGACUGAUCCCA